AACGAACGCUGGCGGCAUGCCUAACACAUGCAAGUCGAACGAGACCUUCGGGUCUAGUGGCGCACGGGUGCGUAACGCGUGGGAACCUGCCUUUAGGUUCGGAAUAACUCAGAGAAAUUUGAGCUAAUACCGGAUGAUGUCUUCGGACCAAAGAUUUAUCGCCUUUAGAUGGGCCCGCGUUGGAUUAGCUAGUUGGUGGGGUAAAGGCCUACCAAGGCGACGAUCCAUAGCUGGUCUGAGAGGAUGAUCAGCCACACUGGGACUGAGACACGGCCCAGACUCCUACGGGAGGCAGCAGUGGGGAAUAUUGGACAAUGGGCGAAAGCCUGAUCCAGCAAUGCCGCGUGAGUGAUGAAGGCCUUAGGGUUGUAAAGCUCUUUUACCCGAGAUGAUAAUGACAGUAGCGGGAGAAUAAGCUCCGGCUAACUCCAUG
rnacentral:rRNA from 1 species